UCAUUUUAUAGACGAAAUCUAAAAAUGAAUCUGUAAAAUCACACCUGUAUUAGUCACUCACAUCUAUAAAUAUUAAAAUAUUUUGUAACUUUAUAAGAUGAAGUAAUUUAAGGUAAUGAAUAUCCGUCUUCGGUAAAAUAGAAAAAAAUCGUUAGAAUUUUAUACAUGUACUUGUAUAAAGUUUUAUGUGAUCAUAUCAAUGGGAGAUUUGAAAACGCUAACAGUUGAGAAUUUGUGUAAAGAAUGUGACUGUGACAAACCAGUAGAAUGGGUCUGUCUAGAAUGUAACAUUCCGGUCCAUGAUUUCUGUAUUGCUGCACACAUCAACAGACAGCCAUCAUUGACGCAUAGUGUUAUUCCAAACUUUGACGCCCUCACACAAGGACGUGUGCUUGGAACGAAAACAGUCACAAAGCCUCGUGUUGACAAAAUCAUAGUAUGUGGCCCUGGAAUUGAACCAAUUGGACUUGUCGGAGAAUUCGACAGCAUAUUUAAUAUAGAAACGUAUGGUGCAGGUCACGGCCAUCUGAAUAUACAGAUAGUUGGACCGAAAGGUACACCAAAGACCAACAGCCCUAUAAGUAAAAUACAAAGAUCUAAUUGAUAGUUUAAAUAUAAACCAGAAAAGGAACAGAUAGUCCCGUAUUGGAUCAAUAUCGUCUAGUUUAAUUACUUAGAUAAAUAUUUGACCGAUAUAAUGCAAUUUAGUCCCAGUAUACAUGACAAAACUAAUACACUAAAAAUUAACUUUCGGGACAUUGAUCAAUGUUACUUUCAGUUUCAAAACAUUAACAAAGGAGCCGUUCUUUUACUUUUCGUUAUUUGUCAAUAUGUGUAGUCAUUCUGUUUCAUCCCUUCUAUUCCGUUAUGUAAGUAAACCUAUAAAGUAUAGAUUAUUAUAUUGGAAUACAAAUUAAUACAUUUAAGAUAUGUAAAACCGAUCAUAUGAUAGAAUUUAUAUCUUAUAUAAA